GAUGGACGCUGGCGGCGUGCCUAAUACAUGCAAGUCGAGCGAACAGACGAGGAGCUUGCUCCUCUGACGUUAGCGGCGGACGGGUGAGUAACACGUGGAUAACCUACCUAUAAGACUGGGAUAACUUCGGGAAACCGGAGCUAAUACCGGAUAAUAUAUUGAACCGCAUGGUUCAAUAGUGAAGGACGGUUUUGCUGUCACUUAUAGAUGGAUCCGCGCCGCAUUAGCUAGUUGGUAAGGUAACGGCUUACCAAGGCGACGAUGCGUAGCCGACCUGAGAGGGUGAUCGGCCACACUGGAACUGAGACACGGUCCAGACUCCUACGGGAGGCAGCAGUAGGGAAUCUUCCGCAAUGGGCGAAAGCCUGACGGAGCAACGCCGCGUGAGUGAUGAAGGUCUUCGGAUCGUAAAACUCUGUUAUUAGGGAAGAACAAAUGUGUAAGUAACUAUGCACGUCUUGACGGUACCUAAUCAGAAAGCCACGGCUAACUACGUG
rnacentral:rRNA from 1 species